rfam:Citrus sinensis cultivar Ridge Pineapple sweet orange scaffold00435_contig_1, whole genome shotgun sequence.
AUGCCAUGAUUAGGACAUCUUCUGAGAAACUCUUUAAAUCUAUCCCAAGCCUCAAACAAGCUCUCAUCUUCAAGUUGAUGAAAAGAGGUGAUCUCAUUUCGCAAUUU